AAGAGUUACCUGCGUUUCCAUUUCCUACUUAGAGUUGCUUUUCUAGAGUUCAUCUGAACCCAAAGAUGCAAGUAGUGGCUCAAGCUCUGCCCCCUUGACCCUCAGCAUGGCUCCAGAGGGGCGCUCAGCCCCCACGACCCAGGGCCCCCAGCAGGGCCUUUGCAAGGAUGAGGUUAACUAGGGCGGUAGGAGGAAACCAGAGCACACCCUUCCUGCAAGUGCUCAGCAUUUUGCCCACAUCGCACCCUGGGUAGGGGCGGAUGUGUCCUUGGGUUCUGCGGCCGUGCAAGUUCACCUAGGUGCAGAAACCUACCCAACUUUAUUUUCCCCUCACGUCCAAGCAAGGGCGACCUGAGGACAGGCCAAUGGACAGAGAAAUAAGAGGCGGCCAGAGCCGUACAAAGUCUCAUGCAAGAUGCCCGCCCUGAGUUCAGCUUUGGCUGCAGGUCUCUAGAAUUACAUACACGAAGCUGUCUUUGUGCAGAAGAGAGACUAGAAGCCAAUGAGAGAGGCUGCCAAGGAGCGGAGGGAGGAUAGUUUCAAGACUGCGCGUGGGACUUGCAAGACUUUUCCAGGACCGACCAGGCUGGACUCAGAGGGAGCAGCAGUUUCAGCUUCUCAUUCUUGGAGGAGAUGGCCUGCUACCAGUCGCUUGGCCAAACCCAUCAUAACAAAAUGGAAGGGCUUCAGAAGGCUGGGGAAGACGCAUGCGCCACAGGUAAGGUCUAGCGGAGCCUGUCAUGAUGUUUGGGGGCCAUGAACUCAGCACUGGGGCAGCAGACUUCCCACCUGCAGUGAGAGGUACAAGACUAGAUUCACCCCAAGAAAAAGAAAAUGCAUUUCCCCCAGGAAAUAGAACUUAUUGGGCUACUUGCUGUCAUACUCUCCUUAGUGAGGGUAAGGGGGUCAUAGAAAGCUCUGAGCAUCAGAAAGCCUUCAGGGUGAGAACUGAAUAGGGAGAAGUUUCUGGAAAGUGUGCAAAAACCCAGCAACCCAAAAGGAACGACUCCUAAGCCUUUGGUCAGCUGGGGUGAUUUAUUCCACCAACCCUGUGUGAGUUCCCUUUAUCCUCUGUGUAAGAAUAUUCACUCUGGGAGUUUCCACUGGUGCAGUGGGUUAAAAAUCCAGCUGCAGCAGAUGGAGCCUCUGUGGAAGUGCAGGUUUGAUCCCCAGCCCAGUGCAGUGGAUUAAAGGAUCCUGUGUUGCUGCAGCUGCUCAGAUUCCAUCCCUGGCCUGGGAACUUCCAUAUCCUAUUGUUACAGCUAUAAAAUUAAAAAAAAAAAUUUACUUUGACCAGCUCUGUGAUGGGAACAGAGAGUGGGGAGCCUAAUUGAUUGAGAGUGGUGCUAUUUCUUCUGGGUCUUUGUCUUUCUAUCGUUUGUUGUCUUCUUCCUCAAAAGACAUGACUCUUUGAGUCAGUUCAGGCUGUUGAAACAAAUGCCAUAGACUGUGUAACCAACAACUAUUUAUUUCUCACUGGUUCUACUGUUUGGGGCGGGGGGAGUUCAAGGUCAAGGUGUGGUAGAUCUGGUGUCCGGGGAGAACUCGCUUCCUGGUUGCUGUGUCCUCAUGCCAUAGAGAGAGCGCUGGUCCCUCCCUCUUCUUAGAAGGCCACUAAUCCCAUCAUGGGGCCCCAUCCUCAACCCUGGUCUAGACCUCAUCACCUCUCAAAGACCCCAAGCCCAGAUACCGUCGCACUGGGGACUAGGGUUUCAGGAUAUAAAUUGGGGGGGGGGGGGACACAUUCAGUCCGCAGCAAUGACACAUUACCUUUUCCUGUGCCCUGACAGCUGGAGGAGAAGGGAGCUUAAAUCCAGGGUCAUCUCCAUUGAGGAUCGUCCUGGUGGGCAAAUCAGGCAGCGGGAAAAGUGCCACUGGGAACAGCAUCCUCUGCCAGCACGUGUUCAAGUCCAAGCUGGGGACCCAGCCUGUGACCAGGACGUGUCAGGGGGCAACAGGCACGUGGCAGGGGAGGAGCAUCCUGGUGGUGGACACGCCCUCCAUCUUUGAGGCCAAGGCCCAGGACCAGGAGAUGUACGAGGACAUCGGGGACUGCUACCUGCUCUUGGCGCCGGGGCCCCACGUGCUGCUGCUCGUGACCCAGCUGGGGCGCUUCACAGAUCAGGACGCCCUGGCCGUGAUGAGGGUCAAGGAGGUGUUUGGGGCAGGAGCCCUGAGGCACACGGUCAUCCUUUUCACCCACAGGGAGGACUUAGCGGGUGAGUCCUUGCAUGACUACGUGGCAAACACAGACAACCUCAGGCUGAGGAGCCUGGUCCAGGAGUGCGGGAGCAGGUACUGUGCCUUCAACAACCGGGCCUCCGCCCAGGAGCAGAGGGACCAGCUGGCCGAGCUCAUGGCCAUGCUCGAGGGGCUGGAGAGCGAGCACCAGGGCGCCUUCCUCAGCAACGACCUCUUCUUUGAGGCGCAGAUGCUCCAGCGAGGUGAGGCUGAGGCCCCCGGAGAGGGUCGCAGGCACUACCUGGCCAAGGUGCUGUCGCACAUUGAAAAGCAAAAGCAAGAUCUGCGACAGGCCCGGAGACACCGUGUGCUCAGAGGGCUUCUCCGUGUCAAAAACUGGAUCGUGUCGCAUGACGAGCUUUGUGUCUGUCUUGUUUGGUGCAGCUUCCUUUUCCUUCUUAUUCUGCUGAUCAUCUGGUAUCAUCUUUAAUUCUGCAGGUUGCCCGUUUGUCAGUUUCUAAUGAAUCGCCUCGCAGAUUCAUUGCUCAGUUCAGAAAUAAAUAUUCUUGGUCUACAGAGGACAUGUCAUCUCUGCGGGGUCACGGCCCCUCUUCCUUGGACCUCUGCUUUGGUUCAGCCUCCACUGCUGCCUCCGUGAAGCCUUGAGCCUCAGAAGAGGAUGACAGUGGCUCAGGUCCAGGCUUGCCUGGCUGGUAUAUACACAACCCCGCUUUCUUGGCAGGAGCCAGCUCUGGCCUGGUUCGGGCCAAGGGGAGGUCCAGCAGCCACGUGGCUCCCAACCCGAGAUUGAAGGCAACACUCAGAGCAGAGUGAUGAGAUCCAUGCGGACCCCUGAACCAACCAGCCCUGAAGCCUACUCGAUCUCUGGACUUCCAGGGAAGUCAGCCAAUAAAUUUCCUUAUUGUCUAAGCUGUUGGAGUUUGUGUCUCUUUUACUGCAUUUGAAAACAUUUGAGCUAAUAAAGAGUUCCUCAUAUCCCUUUUGAAAAAAAAAAAAAAAAAAGCCCUAAAUCUCUCAGAACUUCCCUGUUCUCCUGCUUCCUGUGAGGAAGUGGCAUUGAGAAGAAAUAAACGGAUUUCUCUUUUCUUGUUUCUAGAAACAGGAAAGGCCUCCUUCUACAACUAAAGUUCCUGCUACAGUGUAGACAUUCAGUGAAUCCCAAAGAACGUGAAAAAUCCCUGUAGCUUCAUCAUUUUGGAGAAGGACAAAGGACGGGCGGGAGGAAACCAGACAGCCCCUAGGCCCCUUGGAAAUCAACCGAGGCGGAAGGUCUGCUGGCUUAACUGGGGAGCGCUGCUCCUGCUGUUGCGGGGAAACCUGGGCCUGGUCCGUCUACACGGAGCCCUCCCGCAGCCCUGGUCCCCAGUACGUUCCUGGGCUGACUUCCUGCCUGGUGCGGAUGCCUCCCGGGAUGAAGGAUGAGACCGCCCAGCCCCGCCCAAAGGCUGCCUUUCUCUGUGCAGCCCACCUUUCCUCUGCGGGUCCCCGGCAGCAAAGGGAGCCACUGUCACAGGGCCCGACUUCCUCCCCGAGCUCGCUGGUGGUGACCGCUCGCUGCCAGUUCCACCUCCUCCGCGUCUCCGGUACCCGGGACCCAGUCCCCCCCAUCCCACUCCUCGUGUAAUGGCCCCUGACGUCUGAGAAGUCCAUCUUCUUCUCUCCUCGGUGUUAUAUCCCUUGCUCCCAGGCUCACACUUAUUUUUCUUCAACUGCCACAUGGCUGCAGCAUCAUCUUCCCAAAACUGAACCCCGAAGGUCACGCCCAGGGCCUCCCCCAGCCUCCGCUCCCUCUGUGCGCCUCAUUCUGUGAUUCUCACUCUUCUCCUUGACCGUGGGCUCCCUCCACCCAAAACGACUCCCCAGAGGGGUCUGCAAGUUCCUAGAAGCCGCAGCCCCACCCCCGCUAGGGCACCUCUGACCCUGAGCCCCAACGCUCCUGGGGGACACAUCACCGCCAGAUAGAUUUCUCUCGCAUGCAUUUAAAAAAUUUUAUUGAAGACUA